UUCACAAUUAACUAUCUUUCUGUCAAACAUUGUCACCUUACCGCAGCUUACGAAAGCAUCUCAGAAAUGCAGCUUUCAUCUGACCUACAUAUCGGUUGCUCUUUUAUGUUCCCACUUGGCACACGCAGCGCUCUGCUGCAUAGAGGGAGGAUCCCUACGCUGCUGUUGUAUCAGUGCGCUGUGAUUAACAAGCAGCUUAAGCGCAACACAGAUACUAUACAGCAAAGCAAAAUUAUGUAUAACACUCAAUGCUAUUUAUGCAUCCCUUCUUUAGGCAAGGAACUCGGGAGUGACUUAAUUUAUCGUCAUUGAUCUCCUUUUCCCAGCGAUCUUCGCUUUCCCUCACACCGCACGUUUCUGCACCACCCCCCUGGCUGCACCCCCACACAAGGCUUCUGGCACAGAGCUCCGUGAAGCAGCGUCAGCGUUACAUCAGCUGGGAAUCUCCUCUGCCACACGCAGCAGAGACCGAGCGCAGGGCUGCCUGCCUUCAGCAGCUCUUUUUGCUCAGGAAAGCUGCGGCUCUUCCUCCCAAACAAACAGUAACGCCAAAAGACGCUCGAAAUCAAACCAAACCAAUUAUAUACUCAUCAACAAAACGCGAAAUUAUCCGUGUUACCACCCGCCAGCCGCAGGCGCACAAAUACGAAAUGCGCAGUCACCGAUAUUCCGACACGGUUGCUCUGUGCCGCCAUCUACAGAUCGAAUCGGAAUAAUAAAAUUAAAUCUAACUUUCGGAUACACGUGUGAUACAGUCUGAACAAACCCAAGUGGAACAUCGACACCUCGGACGCGCGGCGCACCGCGCAGCUCAGCGAGACCCGUGCCGACACCCGCGUGCUCCUCACGCACAAACCGCCGCUCCUCACAGCCUGCGGGAUGACUCACGUGAGACACGGCAGCACGACCGCACCGAGGAGCUCUCAGCCCGCGGACACACAGCAGCCUGCGUGUGAAGGCUGGAAUCUACCUAACCUUAGAACCGACUGUGACCCCUGAAACGCGAACAGCGCUGUACCGCUUUGCCGUGAAACACGCUGGGCUUCGAGAGCCGUGCGAGCAGCAGAGCGGAGCGCCGCCCCGUGGCAGAACGCGCUACGACGAGCCUCGCGCCCCUCCGCCUCAACGGUCUGCGCGCGACAGGCGGGAACCGCCCCUCCCGAGGCGCGGCUGCGGCCGCACCCCAGGCUCCGCUCCCGGUCCGACUUUUGCAGCCGCGGCGUCAGCUCGCGCCAGAACCACAAGCGGCACGGGGCCCACGCGCGCGGUCACCCAGCAGCCUCCCAGCAGACAGGGAGAUUGGCUGAUGCUGUUUCUGUCAUCCAGCAGCGGCGUGGCGUGGACAGAUCAGCACCUUUCUGAUGGUCCUGCUAAUAAGCUACAGGAGAAGCUAGUCUGAAGAACUCCCGUAUCCUUUCCUGCAAGACCGAGGCGUAUUUAGCAAUUCUGAGCAAAACACACCGAAUGCUUGUGGCUACAGCUGCAAGAGCUGUGCUUGUAAACAUGCAGCUUGUCAUGUAUUGUGCAUCUUGUGCAAAGCAGGUUAAAAACAACUGAUCUUCAGUGACAGGCAAAACUAAUACGGUUAAGGUAAAGAAGCAAACUUGGAGAUGGUUACCACUUUCGAGGAGAUGCACACGAGUUAACGUGCAGAUGAUCCGCCUCGUUUCCAUUUACAGGAGUGAGAGUGAACAUGAGAAAAUACAGAUGUUAGAAUUGGAACAUGACACAGCCGGGCUGGUUGCCGAGGAAAGGCAGCACAGCAGCCAGAUACUAGAAAAAAUGGAUGAACAUCUGAAGAAAUGUAAAGCAGCAGCAGAAAGUAAACUGAAAAAGUCCGUUACAGAAUCAGAACAGUGUCUCUAUUUUACACUGUGCUGGAGAAACUUGUGUUUAUUACCCUCCUAGAAGAGGAGCAUCUUCAAGAGAGCAUUAUGGUGAACACCUAUCCAUUAGCACGGGAAAAAGAUUUGAAUAAAUGUUUGCCAUUUCCCUCUUUCUCCCACAGCUCAAGAAUUAGAACACAGCUUGCAUUUAACUGUUCUCCCUGCAAUUUUAACUGCUGCUACCUUCCCCUGAUCACAAGCUGGAAGAAGCUCACUGCUGGUUCAAACCAAUGUUUGACAGCCUGCAGCUAUAACUUGUGAAAAACCACCAGCCACUGAAUCUGGAUGAGAGCAUCUCCAAGAAGGUGUUCAAGAAAACACAUUCAAUUUCAAAGGGAGAACAAAGAAAACAAACUAGGUAAAAUACUUGAGACCUCAUGAUCACUCAGAAUUUCAGUUACUUAAACUUUAUUCCAUCCCUUCAACAAAUAUGGAGAGCAGACUCCUUCCAAUUCUAACAGCAAAAAAAAAAUAUGUACAAUAUAGCUUCAAAAUACUGUCUCUACACUUAGAAAAGUAACACUGCACGUACUCCAUGUUUCAUUAAUGCUCAUAAAUCAAGUUUUUGACUGAAAA